UACGAAGGGGGCUAGCGUUGUUCGGAAUUACUGGGCGUAAAGGGCUCGUAGGCGGCCAACUAAGUCGGAUGUGAAAUCCCCAGGCUUAACCUGGGAACUGCAUCCGAUACUGGAUGGCUUGAAUUCGGGAGAGGGAUGCAGAAUUCCAGGUGUAGCGGUGAAAUUCGUAGAUAUCGGGAGGAACACCAGUGGCGAAGGCGGCGUUCUGGACUGCAACUGACACUGAGGAACGAAAGCCAGGGGAGCAAACGGG
rnacentral:rRNA from 1 species